GAUGAACGCUGGCGGCGUGCCUAAUACAUGCAAGUCGAGCGAAUGGAUUAAGAGCUUGCUCUUAUGAAGUUAGCGGCGGACGGGUGAGUAACACGUGGGUAACCUGCCCAUAAGACUGGGAUAACUCCGGGAAACCGGGGCUAAUACCGGAUAACAUUUUGAACCGCAUGGUUCGAAAUUGAAAGGCGGCUUCGGCUGUCACUUAUGGAUGGACCCGCGUCGCAUUAGCUAGUUGGUGAGGUAACGGCUCACCAAGGCAACGAUGCGUAGCCGAACUGAGAGGGGGGUCGGCCACACUGGGACUGAAACACGGCCCAGACUCCUACGGGAGGCAGCAGUAGGGAAUCUUCCGCAAUGGACGAAAGUCUGACGGAGCAACGCCGCGUGAGUGAUGAAGGCUUUCGGGUCGUAAAACUCUGUUGUUAGGGAAGAACAAGUGCUAGUUGAAUAAGCUGGCACCUUGACGGUACCUAACCAGAAAGCCACGGCUAACUACGUGCCAGCCGCCGCGGUAA
rnacentral:rRNA from 1 species